AAAAGGAAAAAUAUGUGCCUCAAUCGUCGUUCUGUUCCUCAAAUUAGAAGUUGGGUACAUAACAAAAUACCCAAAAACCGUAAACCAUGACGUACUGAUCCUGACACUGAACACAGUUUCUCAGAUGAGAAUAUAUCUUUCAAUUUUCUUCAUAUUCCAUUAUAUUAUAUUAUUACUAUUAAACUAUUAUAGUCUACUUUAAGUUCAGGAAUCUUUCGAAAAGAUCAAAGUAUACGAAACACAAUCAAAAACGUACUAAAACAAACGACAAAAUGUAUCUACCAUCUGUCUUAAGAGAUAACGUAUAUAAAGAGAUAUUCAAACUUCUUUUAUGUAUAA